UCUGUAGUGCUUCGUUCGGAGUUACUUGUCGCAAAAAUGGAUGUAUCUAGACAUAUUUUAGUUCUAGAUACAUUCAUUUUCGAGACAAGUAAUUCCGAACGGAGGGAGUACUUG
rnacentral:pre_miRNA from 1 species